UACGGAGGACCCGAGCGUUAUCCGGAUUUAUUGGGUUUAAAGGGUGCGUAGGCGGCCUUGUAAGUCAGGGGUGAAAGACGGUAGCUUAACUAUCGCAGUGCCUUUGAUACUGCAGGGCUUGAAUGUACUUGAGGUAGGCGGAAUGUGACAAGUAGCGGUGAAAUGCAUAGAUAUGUCACAGAACACCAAUUGCGAAGGCAGCUUACUAAAGUAUGAUUGACGCUGAGGCACGAAAGCGUGGGGAUCAAACAGG
rnacentral:rRNA from 1 species